rnacentral:misc_RNA from 1 species
GUAUUGCAGAGUUAUGGAAUUGUUGCUAUUGCCCCAUUUUCUCACCGCUUGGCUUUUGACAAAUUGCCUACAAACAUCCAACGCCUACGUUGUAAAGUGAAUUUUGAAGCAUUAGUAUUCGUUCCUGGUAUAAAGUCAUUGGGGGAUACACUUGUUCAUCGUCUCCGCUAUGGUGACUCAGGGACAGAGUUCCUGAAGGAGAGAAGAGGUGAUGCUGAAAAAGUGGGAUCUGGAAAGUUUGUUGUGUUGCAUCUUCGCUUUGAUAAGGAUAUGGCUGCACACUCAGCAUGUGAUUUUGGUGGUGGUAAAGCUGAAAAACUUGCUCUUGCCAAAUAUCGCCAAGUUCUUUGGCAAGGAAGGG